UGUGUUAAGCCUGGCCAAUUUUCAUUUAGUCAGCAUCUUUGAGUUCAUUUUCAGUUGCUUGUUUGGUUUUUAAGUGAAGGCUGGAAUCAGGCAGGUGUUCUAAGUGCUGUGGAAGUGGCUGGAACAGGCAGUCUCUUCCCUGAGCACAAAAGCCACAACCCCUUGCGGGGGCAGGGGAGAGACGAUAUUAUGUCGGGUGUGCCAGCAAGGGCCUCUCCCCGGCACGGCUGUGCUAAGAAACCUUACACUGCUGCUCUCUCCAUGCUUACAGCAUUUGUCUGACGAGGUGGGGUGCCUCUGGAUCCCAGCUGCAGGGGGGAGUGACAGCAGGGAGGAGUCAUGCCUUCAUCUCUUACCUCACCUGCAGGCUUUCCAGUGGGCCACUGUGUGAAACAUUUCUGUGAUCCGAAUAAUGGACAAGACUGUCGUCAUGCUUACACAGUUUGUCUCUUGAGAUACAGCAUAAUGUCUGAAUCAGCAAUCCAGGUCACCUUGUGUCAAUGGAUCCCAUCUUAAAAUGGUGAAAGGAUGCUAUCAAGUCAAGGACCUCUGUGAACCUGGUAAGAACUGAAAAAGACCUUGAUCUGUGAAUACUGCUGAUCCUGCACUCACAUGCAUUCUUGUCUAAAGUGAAGACUUUAAAGGCUGAUGAACGUGGUGAAGAAGGGUGCAUGAAGGGGCAGCCCUUUUCUGAAGCAGGGGGAGGCCGAUGCCUCAGACAGCAGAUUCCUGAGUCACCAGUUGGGGGGUGAGAUGCCCCUUACUGCUGCCCUUGGAACAACUAUUCAGUACCAAACUGACCCUCACAAGGUUUGCAAGGAGGACCGCCUCUCCUCAAAGAGCUUGCAAGGAGCAUAAGAAGAGAAAAGGAGACAGCUGGCAACCUCCUCUCCUCCCCAACUCCACACCACUUGUAAGUGUCAGUUUUGAAAGGGAGCUGGUCCCCACCAGGGGCAAGGGCAAGGCAGAAUUUGGCUCUUCACCUCAGGUGCCACAAUGCCUUGGUUGCAUGACAGGAGUUCUCAUUGAA